GAUGAACGCUGGCGGCGUGCCUAAUACAUGCAAGUCGAGCGAACAGACGAGGAGCUUGCUCCUCUGAUGUUAGCGGCGGACGGGUGAGUAACACGUGGAUAACCUACCUAUAAGACUGGGAUAACUUCGGGAAACCGGAGCUAAUACCGGAUAACAUGUUGAACCGCAUGGUUCAACAGUGAAAGACGGUCUUGCUGUCACUUAUAGAUGGAUCCGCGCCGCAUUAGCUAGUUGGUAAGGUAACGGCUUACCAAGGCAACGAUGCGUAGCCGACCUGAGAGGGUGAUCGGCCACACUGGAACUGAGACGCGGUCCAGACUCCUACGGGAGGCAGCAGUAGGGAAUCUUCCGCAAUGGGCGAAAGCCUGACGGAGCAACGCCGCGUGAGUGAAGAAGGUCUUCGGAUCGUAAAACUCUGUUAUUAGGGAAGAACAAAUGUGUAAGUAACUAUGCACGUCUUGACGGUACCUAAUCAGAAAGCCACGGCUAACUACGUG
rnacentral:rRNA from 1 species